GAUGAAGAACGUAGCGAAAUGCGAUACUUGGUGUGAAUUGCAGAAUCCCGUGAACCAUCGAGUCUUUGAACGCAAGUUGCGCCCGAAGCCAUUAGGCCGAGGGCACGCCUGCCUGGGCGUCACACGUCGUUGCCCCCCCCCAUCUGCUCCUUCGGGAUUGCGGGGGGCGGAUGAUGGCCUCCCGUGCGCCUCGCCGCGCGGUUGGUAUAAACGCCAAGUCCUCGGCGACGCACGCCACGACAAUCGGUGGUUGCGAAACCUCGGUUGCCCGUCGUGUGCGGUCGUCGCGCAUCGAGGGCUCGAAAAAAUUGCCGAGUUCCGGCUCGGCUUUCAACGCGACCCCAGGUCAGGCGGGGUUACCCGCUGAAUUUAAGCAUAUCAAUAAGCGGAGGA
rnacentral:misc_RNA from 1 species